rnacentral:rRNA from 1 species
GUUAUCACGGGAGACACACGGCGGGUGCUAACGUCCGUCGUGAAGAGGGAAACAACCCAGACCGCCAGCUAAGGUCCCAAAGUCAUGGUUAAGUGGGAAACGAUGUGGGAAGGCCCAGACAGCCAGGAUGUUGGCUUAGAAGCAGCCAUCAUUUAAAGAAAGCGUAAUAGCUCACUGGUCGAGUCGGCCUGCGCGGAAGAUGUAACGGGGCUAAACCAUGCACCGAAGCUGCGGCAGCGAACGUAUCACCCAAGACAACUUUACGGAGUUGACGAUUGACGGAGCGAAGCGACGUCAAAGCGUUCAUUAAAGUCGAGUYGGYUUARGGAUACGUUCGUUGGGUAGGGGAGCGUUCUGUAAGCCUGCGAAGGUGGCCUGUGAGGGUUGCUGGAGGUAUCAGAAGUGCGAAUGCUGACAUAAGUAACGAUAAAGCGGGUGAAAAGCCCGCUCGCCGGAAGACCAAGGGUUCCUGUCCAACGUUAAUCGGGGCAGGGUGAGUCGACCCCUAAGGCGAGGCCGAAAGGCGUAGUCGAUGGGAAACGGGUUAAUAUUCCCGUACUUGGUGUUACUGCGAAGGGGGGACGG